rnacentral:rRNA from 1 species
UACAGAGGGUGCGAGCGUUGUUCGGAAUUAUUGGGCGUAAAGGGCGCGUAGGCGGUGCGGUAAGUCACCUGUGAAAUCUCCUGGCUCAACUGGGAGCUUGCAGGCGAAACUGCCGUGCUGGAGUGUGGGAGAGGUGCGUGGAAUUCCUGGUGUAGCGGUGAAAUGCGUAGAUAUCAGGAGGAACACCGAUGGCGAAGGCAGGUCUCUGGGCUGACACUGACGCUCAUGCACGAAAGCGUGGGGAGCAAACAGG